UCAAAGGUCAGACAGAGAGUGCAGGUCAGCAGCUAAACUCUGUACAUCUGAAAAACAGCCUCUGUCUCUCAACACUGUCUUUACUGGUUUUCCUUUCUGUCAAACACCAAUAAUGACAUUAAUGUAAAGUUCAAUAAGGUCACAUAUGUCACUCGUCUGUCAGUACAGAAAACACUGUCUACAGUUCUGUUUUUGGAAAUUAUUUGCUUCAGAGAUUAAAUGUGCUAAAUCUUUCGCACUUCAAUAAUUUAUGUGACCUUUUCAGUGUACAUAAUGAAGAGUUAUUACACAUAUGUUGAUUUUUGUCCAUUUAUCCAAUAGGUUUCCUAAAUUUUUCAGUAUAAGAACCUGUAAAUUGAAUGUAUAAUAUGCAGACAGUGUUUUGAAGUAAAUAUAGUAGCUCUGAGACAACCAUUCCUUUUGAGUAAAACCCAUCCUCUCAUUAAAUAUCACAAUUAACAUUUUGACCCAGAAAAAAAUAACCAACCACAUUUGGGACUGUAUUUUUAUUUAUUAGUGACUCAAACCUGGUAAAGUUUCACUACUUUUACUCUAGAGGCAUUUUACCUAUAAUAAACACAUGUACAGCAGCACUGGUUUUUAUGUACAGAUACUGCGAGAUUGGUGCACUGCUGGCUUCAGAUCUCAAAUACGAUGACAGACACAAGAGAGUAGAGGGAGUUAUGUAGAUUUAACCUUACAGAGUCAAUAAACCAACAAUAACAUGACAUAAGCGUCAGGAAAAGUGAAAUAUCCCUCAUGAUUUAGAAUGACUGUAAUUUUACAGUGUAUCAGUAAAUCAUCUGGAUGUUCGCUAGAUCUAUGACUGAGCUUUUUAUUUGUAGAUCAUUCUGAAUUUAUCAAUGCUUCAUAGUCACUGACUGAAUCGUCUCCUUGUUUGAUUUAAGUCCAUUAUUUUUCAAUGACUAACAAAUGUAGAAAAAAAUGGCACAAGCUUCAUGCUGUACAUCCUUCACUGUGGCUCAUUCAUGAUUUUUCUUCAUGAAUUUAACCGUUUGUGUGAAUGUGACUGGAUCUUUGUUUGGCUUUAACAGGUACUGCUUUCAGACAGCAGGAGGCAGCAGAGGCACAGGUUUAACAUGACGCAGCACUAUGGGGAUUAUUGUAUUACAUAAAAUAGAAGGUAAGGAGGGUGUCUGUAAAGGCUGUUUCUCCAACUCAGGGUUUACCUCCACAAAUAAUAGCACUGAAUCACUGAACGCAUUGCAACACUAUCUGUUGGCUGUAACUCGAUCAAAAAUAAUUAUUUUAAAUAAAUCUGAUCUGUGAUAGAAACAGACUGUGUUACCAACGACGCGGCUGAGCCUCAGGAUUAAAAUCAGAGCCCGUUAAUCAAUCAAACGGCUGCAAAUGACACUGGACCCACAUCUAAUGGUUCUCAGUCUGUGUGGAAGAUGGGUGUAUUUGUAGCAUUAUUCAGUCAGAUGUUCUCCUGCUGAUGGGCGGUGGUGUCAUGAGACCACAGCUCCACCACAAAGUCAGUUUUUAGACGUUUAUAGAUAGAAACAUUAAUGCACAUCAGACUGUACCUGGUCUUUAUCACCACUAGAAACUGUCAGAUUCGCCCCUUAUCUGACCUGCUACAAAGUGAACUCAAACAGCAGAUAAAUUAAAAGGUAAUGUAGAUUAUUAGUAUUAGUAUAGUAGUAGUAGUAGUAGUAGUAUGUAGUAGUAUCUGCAUGAUACACAUAUAUUAUUGGACAAGACUGAACGUUUAAUUCCAUUUUUGUUUCUUAAAUCCAAUCCAGACCCAUUCUGGACCCAAUCUGAACCCAGUCUUCUACUGGAACCAGAAUGAUCCUGAUGUUCUGGAUCACAGAGUCAUCUGACCCGGAUCUGCAAAUACAAAGAAGUUAUGCCGUACUUUCAAUGGAGAGGUUCUCAAUGCCGCGGCGUUCUCCACGGCUGCAGUGAGGUGGCAGACAGAACCCACGGAUACUCCGACCGGUCCGGACCCGGGAGCUCAG